rnacentral:rRNA from 1 species
CCUACGGGUGGCAGCAGUGGGGAAUAUUGCACAAUGGGCGCAAGCCUGAUGCAGCCAUGCCGCGUGUGUGAAGAAGGCCUUCGGGUUGUAAAGCACUUUCAGCGGGGAGGAAGGCGUUAAGGUUAAUAACCUUGGCGAUUGACGUUACCCGCAGAAGAAGCACCGGCUAACUCCGUGCCAGCAGCCGCGGUAAUACGGAGGGUGCAAGCGUUAAUCGGAAUUACUGGGCGUAAAGCGCACGCAGGCGGUCUGUCAAGUCGGAUGUGAAAUCCCCGGGCUCAACCUGGGAACUGCAUUCGAAACUGGCAGGCUAGAGUCUUGUAGAGGGGGGUAGAAUGCCAGGUGUAGCGGUGAAAUGCGUAGAGAUCUGGAGGAAUACCGGUGGCGAAGGCGGCCCCCUGGACAAAGACUGACGCUCAGGUGCGAAAGCGUGGGGAGCAAACAGGAUUAGAUACCCUAGUAGUC